rnacentral:rRNA from 1 species
CCUUUUGUAUAAUGGGUCAGCGACUUAUAUUCUGUAGCAAGGUUAACCGAAUAGGGGAGCCGAAGGGAAACCGAGUCUUAACUGGGCGUUAAGUUGCAGGGUAUAGACCCGAAACCCGGUGAUCUAGCCAUGGGCAGGUUGAAGGUUGGGUAACACUAACUGGAGGACCGAACCGACUAAUGUUGAAAAAUUAGCGGAUGACUUGUGGCUGGGGGUGAAAGGCCAAUCAAACCGGGAGAUAGCUGGUUCUCCCCGAAAGCUAUUUAGGUAGCGCCUCGUGAACUCAUCUCCGGGGGUAGAGCACUGUUUCGGCAAGGGGGUCAUCCCGACUUACCAACCCGAUGCAAACUGCGAAUACCGGAGAAUGUUAUCACGGGAGACACACGGCGGGUGCUAACGUCCGUCGUGAAGAGGGAAACAACCCAGACCGCCAGCUAAGGUCCCAAAGUCAUGGUUAAGUGGGAAACGAUGUGGGAAGGCCCAGACAGCCAGGAUGUUGGCUUAGAAGCAGCCAUCAUUUAAAGAAAGCGUAAUAGCUCACUGGUCGAGUCGGCCUGCGCGGAAGAUGUAACGGGGCUAAACCAUGCACCGAAGCUGCGGCAGCGACGCUGAUGCGUUGUUGGGUAGGGGAGCGUUCUGUAAGCCUGCGAAGGUGUGCUGUGAGGCAUGCUGGAGGUAUCAGAAGUGCGAAUGCUGACAUAAGUAACGAUAAAGCGGGUGAAAAGCCCGCUCGCCGGAAGACCAAGGGUUCCUGUCCAACGUUAAUCGGGGCAGGGUGAGUCGACCCCUAAGGCGAGGCCGAAAGGCGUAGUCGAUGGGAAACAGGUUAAUAUUCCUGUACUUGGUGUUACUGCGAAGGGGGGACGGAGAAGGCUAUGUUGGCCGGGCGACGGUUGUCCCGGUUUAAGCGUGUAGGCUGGUUUUCCAGGCAAAUCCGGAAAAUCAAGGCUGAGGCGUGAUGACGAGGCACUACGGUGCUGAAGCAACAAAUGCCCUGCUUCCAGGAAAAGCCUCUAAGCAUCAGGUAACAUCAAAUCGUACCCCAAACCGACACAGGUGGUCAGGUAGAGAAUACCAAGGCGCUUGAGAGAACUCGGGUGAAGGAACUAGGCAAAAUGGUGCCGUAACUUCGGGAGAAGG